rnacentral:rRNA from 1 species
GACGAACGCUGGCGGCGUGCCUAAUACAUGCAAGUCGAACGCUUCUUUCCUCCUGUGUGCUUGUGCUCAAUUGGCAAGCGGAGUGGCGGACGGGUGAGUAACACGUGGGUAACCUACCAAUCCGUGGGGGAUAACACUCGAAUACAGGUGCUAAUACCGCAUAACAGUUUAUGCCGCAUGGCAUAUGAGUGAAUGGCGCUUUCGGGUGUGGUUGAUGGAUGGACCCGCGGUGCAUUAGCUAGCUGGUGGGGUAACGGUACACCUGGGCGACGAUGCAUCGACGACCUGAGAGGGUGAUCGGCCACACUAGGACUGAGACACGGCCCAGGCUCCUGCGGGAGGGAGCAGUAGGGAAUCGUCGGCAAUGGUCGAAAGUCUGACCGAGCGACGCGGCGUGAGUGAAGAAGGUGUUCGGAGCGGAAAACUCUGUUGUUAGAGGAGAACAAGGACGGUAUUAGCUGAACGUCCCGUGACGGUAACUAGCAAGAAAGCCACGGCUAACUACGUG